AAUGUCUGCUUUAUUCCACAGAUUAAGGAUUUGAGUUGGCCUGACGGAGAGAUCUUCCAGGCGACUCCGGCCCAUGGAGGAUGCAGAGCAUCACAUCAGAUCAAACAUUGAUAAACCAGUACUUUACCAGCGUUUUAUCAAUAUCUUUAAAGGACGGGGAGUUUUUGCCACUGAAUUCAUAUCCAAAGGAGACUUUGUUGUGGAGUACCGAGGUGAACUGCUUACACAACAGGAGGGCGAGGUCCGAGCUGAUCAGUACAAUGAUUCUGCAAAGGUGUUUCUUUUCGAUUUCCAAUGGAAAGGAAGAACAUGGUGCAUUGAUGCAUCUGAAGAAGACUCCUCCCUUGGGAGACUCGUUAAUGAUGAUCACUAAAGACUCAAUCUCAAAAUGAAGGCCAUACAAGCAAACGAUGAGCCACACUUGUGCCU